rnacentral:rRNA from 1 species
GCAGCAGUAGGGAAUCUUCCACAAUGGACGCAAGUCUGAUGGAGCAACGCCGCGUGAGUGAAGAAGGGUUUCGGCUCGUAAAGCUCUGUUGUUAAAGAAGAACGUGGGUGAGAGUAACUGUUUACCCAGUGACGGUAUUUAACCAGAAAGCCACGGCUAACUACGUGCCAGCAGCCGCGGUAAUACGUAGGUGGCAAGCGUUAUCCGGAUUUAUUGGGCGUAAAGCGAGCGCAGGCGGUCUUUUAAGUCUAAUGUGAAAGCCUUCGGCUCAACCGAAGAAGUGCAUUGGAAACUGGGAGACUUGAGUGCAGAAGAGGACAGUGGAACUCCAUGUGUAGCGGUGAAAUGCGUAGAUAUAUGGAAGAACACCAGUGGCGAAGGCGGCUGUCUGGUCUGUAACUGACGCUGAGGCUCGAAAGCAUGGGUAGCGAACAGGAUUAGAUACCCUGGUAGUCCAUGCCGUAAACGAUGAUUACUAAGUGUUGGAGGGUUUCCGCCCUUCAGUGCUGCAGCUAACGCAUUAAGUAAUCCGCCUGGGGAGUACGACCGCAAGGUUGAAACUCAAAGAAUUUUGACGG